rnacentral:misc_RNA from 1 species
GGGCACUAGUAUAUAUUGCGUUAACAUCGGCAUUCUCCCAUAUCGAGUAGAUCCGUACGAUAAAGAGUCUAUAUAAAGACGCAUUUUUUUCGCAGAAUAUUUUCAAAAUGUUAACGUCUAAUAUACAUCUUUAUCUUCUAUCAUUUCUCGUGACAAAGAUAAUGUACAGCGAAGGAAAUUCAUGUUCCUGUAGUCAGCCGGAUUCAAAUUUUGCGACUGGUGUCAAUCUCAUUUAUUAUAAAUGUAAUAAUGAGACCCCAGCAACGAUUGCUUACCCUAUCACAGCGCCACAAAAGUUGUUAAAAGUGUUAGAAAAUAAACGAACAAUCUUUUACGUCUUUGGAUAUCGAGAAACUCCGGAAGUUGCAAAUGUCCAAGUAAUGAUGGAAGCACUUUGUUAUGAAAGAACGGACAAUGUUGUGUUACUCGAUUGGAGUAAACAUUCGGACGGUUUUUAUACAAAAACCUUCCAAAAGGGCGAAAAAGUGGGCAGUUUAUUCGCUCGAAGUAUGCGAUUACUUGUAAAUAGCGGCCUCGAUAGUACGAAAAUAUAUAUUGUCGCACACUCUUUGGGUGUUCACAUAGCUGGUUUUGUUGGUAAAUGCAAUGACUUCAUAAUACCUCGCAUCACAGGAUUAGAUCCUGCAAAUCCUUUAUUUUAUCCUUUCGGAUGCUAUCUCACACCUAAAGAUGCGACAUGGAUCGAUAUCAUUCAUACAGAUAGCGGAGGAUAUGGCACUCUUAGACAUAUGGGAACAGCGGAGUAUUAUGUAAACGGUGGCACACGUUUUCAGCCUGGUUGCAAACUUGGUCUCCCAUUAAGCAAAACUGUCAUCAAAAAUCAGUUAAACUGUAUGCAGAAUCGAAACGUCAUCCUACAGAAUUUAUUGCGGUAAAUUGUUCUUCCUAUAUUAAUUAUAAAAAGAAUGACUGCAAAGACAACCUGCAGACUAACGUUGGAUAUGCUGCAUCGAAUGUACACGGAUCAUUUUAUUUCUCUACGGGAAUUAUAUAAUAAAAAUUAUUCAUGCAUUUUUUUAGUUCGACAUUAAAUGUGACAUAAUCUGUAAUAGUUCUAUGAGCUAAUCAUAGGCACCGAAACUACUUUCACGAAAUGCCCUCGUAUUUAUGUUAAUUUGUGUUGGAUCGUAAAAUAAAACAGCACGAUCUGAACAAUCACCUGCAUCAACGUAUCAGCCUUCUUUCGAGACAAUUAUUCAACAGCUUUGAUAUUCGAAUGUUUGUCUUAAUCUGUUUCUUUAAAUAAGAAAUAAGAAAGUAGCGCAAUAUA